UACGGAGGGUGCGAGCGUUGUUCGGAAUCAUUGGGCGUAAAGGGCGUGUAGGUGGUCUGUUAAGUCAUGUGUGAAAGCCCUCAGCUUAACUGGGGAAGUGCGCAUGAAACUGACAGGCUAGAGUACCGAAGAGGAAGGUGGAAUUCCCGGUGUAGCGGUGAAAUGCGCAGAUAUCGGGAGGAACACCGGUGGCGAAGGCGGUUCUCUGGGCCUUACCUGACGCUGAGGAGCGAAAGCGUGGGGAGCGAACAGG
rnacentral:rRNA from 1 species